CGGGGCAUAGCGCAGUCUGGUAGCGCACUGCUUUGGGAGCAGGGGGUCGCAAGGUUCGAAUCUUGCUGCCCCGA
rnacentral:tRNA from 1 species